AUGGGGACCUGUAUGAAUGGCACAACGAGGGCUUAACUGUCUCCUCUUUCAAGUCAAUGAAAUUGAUCUCUCCGUGCAGAAGCGGAGAUACUACCAUAAGACGAGAAGACCCUGUGGAGCUUUAGACACCAAAACAGACCAUGUUAAAGACCCUAAAACAAAAGAUUAAACUCAAUGCCCCCUGACUUGAUGUC
rnacentral:rRNA from 1 species